CAUCCCUAUGAUGAAUUUCUCAGUACAUUUUGACGUUAAAAGUAGCCUGAUUAUUCUUGAUGAGAAAUGAAGUACUGAGGGAUG